rnacentral:rRNA from 1 species
UACGUAGGGGGCGAGCGUUGUCCGGAUUCAUUGGGCGUAAAGAGCUCGUAGGCGGCUUGGCAAGUCGGGUGUGAAAACUCCAGGCUCAACCCGGAGACGCCACCCGAUACUGCCAUGGCUUGAGUCCGGUAGGGGACCACGGAAUUCCUGGUGUAGCGGUGAAAUGCGCAGAUAUCAGGAGGAACACCGGUGGCGAAGGCGGGUCUCUGGGCCGUUACUGACGCUGAGGAGCGAAAGCGUGGGGAGCGAACAGG